UGAGUAACACGUGGGUAACCUGCCUGUAAGACUGGGAUAACUCCGGGAAACCGGAGCUAAUACCGGAUAGUUCCUUGAACCGCAUGGUUCAAGGAUGAAAGACGGUUUCGGCUGUCACUUACAGAUGGACCCGCGGCGCAUUAGCUAGUUGGUGGGGUAAUGGCUCACCAAGGCGACGAUGCGUAGCCGACCUGAGAGGGUGAUCGGCCACACUGGGACUGAGACACGGCCCAGACUCCUACGGGAGGCAGCAGUAGGGAAUCUUCCGCAAUGGACGAAAGUCUGACGGAGCAACGCCGCGUGAGUGAUGAAGGUUUUCGGAUCGUAAAGCUCUGUUGUUAGGGAAGAACAAGUGCGAGAGUAACUGCUCGCACCUUGACGGUACCUAACCAGAAAGCCACGGCUAACUACGUGCCAGCAGCCGCGGUAAUACGUAGGUGGCAAGCGUUGUCCGGAAUUAUUGGGCGUAAAGGGCUCGCAGGCGGUUUCUUAAGUCUGAUGUGAAAGCCCCCGGCUCAACCGGGGAGGGUCAUUGGAAACUGGGAAACUUGAGUGCAGAAGAGGAGAGUGGAAUUCCACGUGUAGCGGUGAAAUGCGUAGAGAUGUGGAGGAACACCAGUGGCGAAGGCGACUCUCUGGUCUGUAACUGACGCUGAGGAGCGAAAGCGUGGGGAGCGAACAGGAUUAGAUACCCUGGUAGUCCACGCCGUAAACGAUGAGUGCUAAGUGUUAGGGGGGUUUCCGCCCCUUAGUGCUGCAGGCUAACGCAUUAAGCACUCCGCCUGGGGAGUACGGGUCGCAAGACUGAAACUCAAGGAAUUGACGGGGGCCGCACAAGCGGUGAGCAUGUGGUUUAAUUCGAAGCAACGCGA
rnacentral:rRNA from 1 species